CCAAUCACUGGCCGCAGCAGUGGUGUCCCGCCUCAGGCUGUGAUCAGUGAGCAGAACUGUCAGUUACCCUGGCUGCAGAUGCUAUGCUCUGCAGCUCAGGGGAAAGCUAUGUCGCCGGCCGUGGAUGGGGCGCCGUGAUACAGGAAGUGAUGUAAGCUGCUUUAGGUGGAGUCUGUAGAAAGAUCGAUUCCCAGAAGACACUGACUGAUCCAGAUGCUGUGUGGACCCCACUAGGAAGAGGGUGCUGUGUCUGAUCUUGAAGUGGUAAAGUAAAGAAUCUAUUCUAUUCCGAACUCUCCAAGACAUACGCCAACUACCCUUCAUUUACUGGAGAUGACAUGCGAUAAUGAAAAUGCAGUGUGCAAACAUGCAAAACAUAAUGCCGACAACUGAAGGAUGAGAGCUGGCCAAAUGGAUGUUUCUUCAUCUUCACAAGUGACCAAUCUAUGCCGCUUAUUCCCUGGACAGGUUUUAAAAGCACAGCGCUGACCUUCUCCAUUGCAAGAGAUAAAUGGGCUGGCAUAAAAAUGAAUUAAGUUUCACAGUCAAUACGAACCAUCAUUAUUCAAGAAAUCUCAGUCUCUUAUUCUCUCAAGCAUCGCAUGUCUGGUCUAGUCUUUCAGAGGCUAUAACAUUACCCUCAUCACCUCGCUCAGCUCUGUUUACCACCCUAUUACUUGGAUAUUGAUUGUUUUCAAUGACUUUGUAAUCGAGAGACUAAACGGCAUCAAAUGAGAAAAUAACAGCAAAGUGGAAUGGAAAAAACAAGGGUAGUAAAGAAACAUUAAGGAUGGCGAGCCUGAGGGUCAGGAUUGAAACUUACCCAUGCAUUGACUAAAGUAAUUUUCCGCCCAAUAAGCAAGCACAUGCUAAUCUUGGUUCUGUAGCAAAACAGGACGUACCAAUAAAACUAAACAGAAGAAUCCAAAGAGUAAGCUGAUAUUUGUAAAUGUGACCACGGUAAAUAAACCAAUGGCAU